UUAUCAGUUUGUUGGUAGGGUAACGGCCUACCAAGGCAAUGACAAGUAGCGGGUGUGAGAGCAUGGCCCGCCUCACUGGGACUGAGACACUGCCCAGACUCCUACGGGAGGCUGCAGUUACGAAUCUUCCACAAUGGCCGAAAGGCUGAUGGAGCAAUGCCGCGUGUGUGAAGAAGCCCUUCGGGGUGUAAAAUACUUUUGUGAGGGACGAAUCAAUGACGGUACCUCACGAAUAAGGGGCUGCUAACCUCGUGCCAGCAGCAGCGGUAAUACGAGGGCCCCAAGCGUUGUCCGGAUUUAUUGGGCGUAAAGCGUCCGCAGGCGGUUUGAUGCAUCUUUUGUUAAAUUUUGAGGCUCAACCUCAAAACCGCGGAAGAUAUGGUCAAACUAGAGGUCGGAAGAGGUAAGCGGAAUUGCUGGUGUAGGGGUUAAAUCCGUUAAUAUCAGCAAGAACACCAAAUGCGAAGGCAGCUUACUAGUACGAACCUGACGCUCAGGGACGAAAGCGUGGGUAGCAAACGGGAUUAGAUACCCCGGUAGUCCACGCCGUAGACGUUGGAUACUAAGCAUUGGUAGUUUCGACCCUAUCAGUGUUGUUUAAAUAAACUAACGCCUUAAGUAUCCCGCCUGGGGAGUACGGUCGGCAGACUAAAACUCAAAGGAAUAGAACGGGACCCGCACAAAGCGGUGGAGCAUGGGGGUUUAAUUUGACGAAAAACCGAAUAACCUCACCCCGAACUUGACAUUCUAGUUGCGAAAUCUAAGGAAAAUUAGAUAAGCUUUUCAGGGGGCUAAGACAG
rnacentral:rRNA from 1 species